rnacentral:rRNA from 1 species
CCUACGGGAGGCAGCAGUGGGGGAUAUUGCACAAUGGGGGAAAGCCUGAUGCAGCGACGCCGCGUGGGCGAAGAAGUUUUUCGGUAUGUAAAGCCCUAUCAGCAGGGAAGAAGAAAUGACGGUACCUGAGUAAGAAGCACCGGCUAAAUACGGGCCAGCAGCCGCGGUAAUACGGAGGGUGCAGGCGUUAUCCGGAUUUACUGGGUGUAAAGGGAGCGCAGGCGGCACGGCAAGCCAGAUGUGAACGCCCGGGGCCCAACCGCGGGACUGCAUUGGGAACUACCGGGCUGGAGUGCCGGAGAGGGAGGUGGAAGUCCUAGUGUAGCGGUGAAAUGCGUAGAUAUUAGGAGGAACACCAGUGGCGAAGGCGGCCUACUGGACGGUGACUGACGCUGAGGCUCGAAAGCGUGGGGAGCAAACAGGAUUAGAUACCCCAGUAGUC